CUCCGACCCAUCCCGAACUCGGUUGUGAAACGCUGUAGCGGCGAAGAUACUUGGGGGGUAGCCCCCUGGAAAAAUAGCUCGGUGCCAGGUUAAUAUUUCAAGCAGACCUUCUCUGAUGAGA
rnacentral:rRNA from 1 species